rnacentral:rRNA from 1 species
GAUGAACGCUGGCGGCGUGCCUAAAACAUGCAAGUCGAGCGGUAAGGCCUCUUCGGAGGUACACGAGCGGCGGACGGGUGAGUAACACGUGGGAAUCUACCCCAAACUGAGGGAUAAGCACCGGAAACGGUGUCUAAUACCGCAUAUGGUCUUCGGAUUAAAGCUUCGGCGGUUUGGGAAGAGCCCGCGUAAGAUUAGCUAGUUGGUGAGGUAAAGGCUUACCAAGGCGACGAUCUUUAGCUGGUUUGAGAGGAUGAUCAGCCACACUGGAACUGAGACACGGUCCAGACUCCUACGGGAGGCAGCAGUUAGGAAUUUCCACAAUGGGCGCAAGCCUGAUGGAGCAACGCCGCGUGCAGGAUGAAGGUUUUCGGAUUGUAAACUGCUUUUAUGUGCGAAGAAUAUGACGGUAACACAUGAAUAAGGAUCGGCUAACUCCGUG